CUAAAAAAACUUAUAAGGUUUCACUAGAAGCCAUUAAAACGAAUUUGACAUUGAGACA
rnacentral:sRNA from 1 species